rnacentral:rRNA from 1 species
UUGGUCAAUGGCCGAAAGGCUGAACCAGUAUCUUGGAAGAUUGAAGAUGUAUUUGUAUAUGUGCAAUAGCGAUUAUAUAGCAUAAAAUUAUGAAUAGAUUAUUUAUGAUGACAAAAUCUAUUUAUAAGUCUUGACCAAACUACGUGCCACCGUCGCGGUAAUACGUAGGAGGCUAGUGUUCGUUAUCUUUAUUGGGUUUAAAGGGUAAGUAGGCGGUAAAAAAAACUCUUAAAAGAGUACUUUUUUACUAGAGUUAUAUGUGAGAAGGAAGAAUAACUGGAGUAGAGAUAGAAUUUGUUGAUACCAGGGGGACUGAUAACGGCGAAGGCAACCUUCUAUGUAAUAACUGACGUUGAGAGACGAAGGCUUGGGUAGCAAACAGGAUUAGAUACCCUAGUAGUCCAAGCAGACAAUGAUGAGUGCCAUAUAUUAGAUAUAAUUUAAUGUAUAAAUGAAAGUGUAAGCACUCCACCUCAAGAGUACUAUUGCAACAUAUAAACUGAAAUCAUUAGACCCUUUCUGAAACCAGUAGUGAAGUAU